rnacentral:piRNA from 3 species
UACCAGAAGUCGACCGAGCUGCUGAUCC